rnacentral:lncRNA from 1 species
CCCCACCCCCCAGCUGAAUUAAGCUCACCCUCAGCACUUAAUCUGUUGUGUAAACACUGCAGAUUUAGAGUUUAGAUCAUCCUCACACUCAGCCCUGGGCGUCCCAGAGCUUGGUGGCUUGCCCCUCUUGGCAACCCUAGGCCCUAGCAGGGUUCCAGGGCCGCCAUAAAUGUCUGUUGAAUGACGGUGUUUCCUGCUUCUGCUUUGACCUCCAUUUUGUCUUCUGAAGCUUUGCCCUAUGCUUUCGAAAGGGCUCUCCUUUCAUUUAUCCCCUUAACCCCUCCUACCAGCCCUGAGAUGUGGCUAAAGGAGUUCUAACAACUCUGAGUUUAAAGAGGCAGGCAAUUUACCUUACCAAGUCCUACACUCAGUUUCUGGAAGAAAUCUGACUACUACCAGGUCUCUCUACUCUCCUAAGACAGGUGCUUUGUUCUGUUUUUUGUUUGUACCAAGCAGUUGUCAAAAUAACUUAAAUAUUAACAUUGCUUACAUAUUCUCCACUCCUGAGAGAUAGAUAAGAACUGAACCAUCGCUCAUUCCUCUAUGGCAAUCCUAGGGCUGACUUUGGGACUAUAUCCAAAACCUCAGGGAGGCGCCUGGUCUCAACUCUCUCCACAGGAUUCUGAGGCUCUGGAAAGGGGGCAGCAACCUGACCUGAGUUGGGUGAAUCACCCUGGGCUCUCUGAGUUUUCAGAACUAAUAUUUGGCGACUCCAAGGCCAGGGAUAAAAAUGAAGAGAUGGAGAGACAAGAUUUCCUGGCCUCUAAUUGGCAGCACCCGUUGACUCUGCUCGUGACCAGACUCAUGAACGCUUCAUCCAAGGUUUCAUGUCAUCCGUGUGAGGAACCUCUCUGAUUUGAGAAAAUCUUUCUUAAAAUGGGCUUCUAGUUGUAAAGCCAUUGUCUUUUUAGGAAAUCAUCAAAUACCUUAAAGCUAGACACGCAAUCAGCUGCAUAAAUGACACACUCACUAAAUCAAUCCUUUAUCAGGUGGUCCUUCAAGGAUUUCUUGGUUUUGGGUUUUGAAAUGUGUAAGGUUUGCUGCUAGCAACUCCACAUUUUUUUAUUCACUCACAAAGACACAUGGUCAUAAAUAAAAUGCAUGGAACCAGCGAGACAAUAGCACAGCAGUAAUGUCAUUUUAUAUGCAGCAUGGCCCUGUUGUGAACGGAAUGAUUGUGAACGGAAUGAUGGCCAAGGAGCUUUAUGCUUCUGCACCGCCAGCUCACACGAUGGUCCGUGUAUUGCCCCGUGGAAAACCGGGGGUGGAAAGCUGUCUCCACGUUCUGCUGCCGAAGCAGCAAGCUGAUUCACACAUCUUGAAGGCACAGUGGAACAUGGAAGGGUGCAUAUGAGACUUGAUUUUGAGGAUGAAACUUCCUGUCUGAAUCGCUAAGUCUCCCAGCAGGGGUGUUAAUGUCCCUGUGAGAUGCAGGCUUCCCACAGACACACCCAGGUUGCGAGUGGGUUCAACAUGGUCACAGGAGCUUCAAAUGGUGAUCCUGAUGCUCAUGGCCAUGCAUUGAGAACAACUGUGUAAGAAGAUAUGGAUAAUGCUUGAAAACUACUAGUAUUAGCACCAUUUUGCAUAUACUCCAAGGAAGAUCUCAAUAAAUGCUUAAUGGAAAUAAGUAAAGGUAUGAAUGCUGGACCUAAUACAGGAGGAAGACCCAGGUGAUUUGUGUACAAUUUGGACACAAGCUCUUGCCAACCACCUGAGAGAUUCCAACAAUGAGAUGAGAUUCCUUACCUUGAACCAGAUAAUUUGGAAUGAAUGUCUAGGCAGAACUUCUGCUUCAGAAUGACCACAAUUAACUACCAGACAACCAACUUUGGGGACAUAUCAGUAGGUGCAGAGCAUUUAGAACUGGAAGGACCAUUUGAAAUACAUAGUUCAUCUCUCUCAUGUUACUGAGGAGGAAAACUGAAGUGCACGGAGGUAAAGUAACUCGCCCAGUAUCACAAUUUGUGUUUGUACCAUUGCUGAGGUGAGCACCUGGGCCUUCUAACCCCAAAUUAAAUUAUUCUCCUAUGUGACAACCUCCUUUAAUGGUUUUUUCUCAUUUAUAUUUAAAAUUUUUAAAGUACCCAAGUAAUAAUACACGUUCAUGGUAGAAAAAGAAAAAAAAUUAGCAAAAUGAGGAAAAUAAAAAUCAGUUUUAAUCCCACCUUCAGAUGCAACUAUUCUCUGUUUUGUAUUUCCUUUCUAGAUAAUAACUAUAACGGAUCAUUAUUAUGAAAUGCUUACUCUGUGCUAGUUAUUAUGGAGUGCUUCUUACAAAAUGCUAGGCAUUUUGUAAACACUCUUCAUGUGUGGAUGCUUUAAUCUUCUGCACAACCCUAUGAUGUAGAUUAUCACCAUCAGUGAUAGGCAGUGUGGCAGGCAGAAUGACAGCCUCCCUGAAAUGUCCACAUACUAAUCCCAGGAACCUGUGAAUGCGUUAUGUUACAUGGCAAAGGAGAAUUAAGAUAGCAGACAAAAUUAAGGUUGGUAAUUGGCUGAUCCUGAAAUAGCAAGAAUAUCCUAGAUUACCCAGGUAGGCCCAACGCAAUCAGAAAGGAAGAGGGAGACACAAGAGGCGGCAUGAGAGUGAUGCGAUGUGAGAAUGAUUCAACCAGCCUUUGCUGGCUUUGAAGGUGGAGGAGGAGGCCAGAGCCAAGGAAUGCGGGAAACCUUUAGAAACUGAAAAACCAAAAAAUGGAUUUCUCCUUUUGGUACUCCAGAAAGGAAUGCACCCCUGCUGACACCUUGACUUUAGCCCAACAUGGUAGACAGAACAAUGGCCCCAAAAUAUCCACAUUCCAAUCCCUGGAAUGUGUGACUGUGUUACCUUACAUGUCAAAAGGAAGUUUACAGAUGUGAUUAAGACUUUUGAGAAGGGGAGAUUAUCUUGGAUUAUCUAGGUGGGCCCAAUGUAAUCAUAAGGAUCUUUAAAAGAAGCAGGCAGGAGGAUGAGAGUCAGAGAGAAGAUGUGAUGACAAAAGCAGGGAAUGGAGUGCUGUGCUUUUAAGACAGAGGAAGGGGCCAAAAGCCAAGGAACACAAGAGGCCUCUAAAAGAGGUAAGGAAACAGAAUCUUCCCUUGAGUCUCUGGAAGAGUAUGGCCCUGUUGACACCUUGAUUUUGGCCCAGCAAAACCUAUUUUGGACUGACCACCAGAACCGUAAGAUAAUAAAUGCAUGUUAUUUUAAGCCACUAAGUUUGUGGGAAUUUCUUACAGCAGCAAUAGGAAACUGGUACACCUAGUUUACAACUUGCUAGGGCCACAGAGUUGGCCAGUGGCAGAGACAGGAUGUGGUUUCAAGCCAUCUGGCUUCAGAGCCCAUAUCUGUUACCAUUAUGACAUAAACAUACAUGGACACAUAGAGAUUUAAAUAGUACAUACAUCUCAAUGAAUGCAAACCUUCCAUAAUAUUUUGAUAGUCAUUCAGCACCACCAUAUUAAAUAGUUGUAGUCCACUCAAUAAAUAUACCACUCCCCAUAUUUUAUAUAAUAAAUCCCUUAUUAUUCAAUACAUACGUUGUUUCUAAUGUUUCAAUAUUGUACUACUGGCAAUGAUAAACAUCUUUCUAGUGCUAUUAAUUAUUUCAUUAGGAAAAACUCUUAAAAUUAGAAACGCCAGGUCAAGUUACCCCUAAGAAAGACUGCAUUGGAAUAUAACGGAAAAUAAAACAUGCAACUGGAAGUCGGAGCAUCUCUGCCUUCUUUUUCUGUAACACCUUUGGUAUUAAGCUAUUUUUCUUAUCCAUGGUACACACUCAAUCGUAUUUUUGUUUUUGAAGGUUUUAGCUAUAACACUAUUUCUUCUGUAGACUCAUAGGUGUUAGAGCAAGAAGGUAUUUAGAGGUGAUUUAGUCUAAUCCUUUAAAUCACAGGUAAAUUCCCUGAGGCCCAGAGUGGUGAACUGACUCACUAAAAGCUCUCCUUACAGGGGUGCUUGGUGAGAACGCACCUUCCUGACUCCAAGGCCAGCUAUCUUUCCACAUCUGCUGCAAAUGUCAUGAGGCUAGCCCCCAAGUUGGGACCAUUAUUAAUUUUUCCCCUCAAGUCAUGCGAAACAUCUCUUGUCCUUUUAAUCAGAAGCAUAUUUUAGGGGCUGCGGAAUAAUAAGCACCCACAUAUCCAGUAUUAAAAGAUAAACUCUGGCCCUUUCCUGGAGUGAGCCUGUUUUCAUUUUAUCAUUGUGAAAUGUGGUAGGAUUGAUGGCAGACAAUAACUCCCCACCUCCCCCAGUAUUUUAUUAAGAUCCGUUCUUACAAAGGAUAACCGGAGGUUUUCCAUCAUCACCUCGUUGUCUUUUUUCUAACUUGGUUCGUCUGCUACCCAACAGUAGUAAGGUUACCUCAUCCUGGAAUCUGAUGUACACAACGGUAUGCAAACUCUUUCCUUCUCUCCGAAGCAAACAAUGAAAUGGGAAAACACUGCCAUUUUCUGACUGACCUCAAUCGCUGAGGGUGGACCCCGCACGUUACAUCAGCAG